CCUACGGGUGGCAGCAGUGGGGAAUAUUGGACAAUGGGGGCAACCCUGAUCCAGCCAUGCCGCGUGUGUGAAGAAGGCCCUCGGGUUGUAAAGCACUUUCAGCGAGGAAGAACGCCUGGUGGUUAAUACCCAUCAGGAAAGACAUCACUCACAGAAGAAGCACCGGCUAACUCCGUGCCAGCAGCCGCGGUAAUACGGAGGGUGCGAGCGUUAAUCGGAAUUACUGGGCGUAAAGCGCGCGUAGGUGGCUUGAUAAGCCGGUUGUGAAAGCCCCGGGCUCAACCUGGGAACGGCAUCCGGAACUGGCAAGCUAGAGUACAGGAGAGGAAGGUAGAAUUCCCGGUGUAGCGGUGAAAUGCGUAGAGAUCGGGAGGAAUACCAGUGGCGAAGGCGGCCUUCUGGACUGACACUGACGCUGAGGUGCGAAAGCGUGGGUAGCAAACAGGAUUAGAUACCCUUGUAGUC
rnacentral:rRNA from 1 species